rnacentral:lncRNA from 1 species
UUUUUGAUUGUUUGCGAUGGCUUCAAAAACGUAAGUUUUUUUUGAACUGGUGAAAAACGUAAGGUUGUCACCUUAUUCUAUAGGUAGACGUAGGUUUUAGGUUUAUGGCAGAAGUUUGUAUAUCCGAAAUUUAGAGAAAUAUUCUUAUUCAAAACCAUAUAAGGAAGACUUUACUCUUAUGUAAUAGAGCUGCUGCAACUAAUUAAGGGAGGUUCGGAUUGUUGAAUAUUUAGUGCCUUGUAAUUAAUUAAAAAGAAGUUAACUUUAAAAGUUACUAUUACUCCGUUUCGAUUUAAUUAUUGUUAUGGGAAAAAAAAUUCGUCUUAAAAUAACUAUUCUAUUUUAUAGAAUCAGCUUAGUAUGUUAUUUUCUCUUCCUCUUUUCUCUGCAUUCCUCUUUUCUCUUUUGUUCUUUUGCAUCAUACUAUGUUUUCCAUCCUCUUCAUUCGUUCUCCUCUUCUUCCCCUUCCCUCUCUGUCCUCUUACUUCUGCUCUCUUGUCCUCUCAUGCUCAUCAUUCUCCUUCUUUUUUCCUCCCUUUUCCUUUUUAUACGCACGUCUUUCUCCUCUCUUCUUUCUCCUUUUCUGGUCUUUUGCUUUCUUCUUCUCCUUUUUCUUUUUCUUCUAUAAAUUGAUUGAUCGAUCUACAAUUUCAUAAAAAUAAAUCUACAAAAAUUUAGAACUAAUGAAUACAUAUUAAAACAUAAUUCAAAGUAUUUCAUAUACUAUACUAUAUUUUUGAGUUAAACAUAAAUAAGGAUUCAUGUUAAUAGUAAUAGUUGAAUACUACUAAUAUAAAUUGACUAGUUUAGAAUUUUGUGAAAACAAGAUUACAAGAUUCUAGAUCUAAUGCAAAAAUAAAUUUUCGCAUAUUCUUUUUCCUCCUAAACCAAUACAUAUUCAUUUGUAAUAUCUCGCAACUAUUAUGAUAUAAUGAUUCUAUUAUAAAAUCAGAAUAGUACGUUACUUUCUCUUCCUCCUUCUUCACUUCUUUUUUUCUUUUUCAUUUCUCCCUUGUUUUCCAUCCUCCUUCUCUGCUCUCUAGAGGCGGCCUUGGACAGAAGCGGGAGAAGCGGGUGCUUC